rnacentral:rRNA from 1 species
UACGUAGGGUGCAAGCGUUUAAUCGGAAUUACUGGGCGUAAGGCGUGCGCAGGCGGUUUUGUAAGUCUGAUGUGAAAUCCCCGGGCUCAACCUGGGAAUUGCAUUGGAGACUGCAAGGCUAGAAUCUGGCAGAGGGGGGUAGAAUUCCACGUGUAGCAGUGAAAUGCGUAGAUAUGUGGAGGAACACCGAUGGCGAAGGCAGCCCCCUGGGUCAAGAUUGACGCUCAUGCACGAAAGCGUGGGGAGCAAACAGG